ACCGGCGCACGGGUGAGUAACACGUAUGCAACCUGCCCCUGUCAGGGGGACAACCCGCCGAAAGGCGGGCUAAACCCGCGUACAUGCCACCGGGGCAUCCCGGAGGCAGGAAAGGCUUCGGCCGGACAGGGAUGGGCAUGCGGCGCAUUAGGCAGUAGGCGGGGUAACGGCCCACCUAACCGACGAUGCGUAGGGGUUCUGAGAGGAAGGUCCCCCACACUGGUACUGAGACACGGACCAGACUCCUACGGGAGGCAGCAGUGAGGAAUAUUGGUCAAUGGUCGGGAGACUGAACCAGCCAAGUCGCGUGAGGGAAGACGGUCCUAUGGAUUGUAAACCUCUUUUGUCGGGGAGCAAAAGACGCCACGCGUGGCGUUCCGAGAGUACCCGAAGAAAAAGCAUCGGCUAACUCCGUGCCAGCAGCCGCGGUAAUACGGAGGAUGCGAGCGUUAUCCGGAUUUAUUGGGUUUAAAGGGUGCGCAGGCGGAAGAUCAAGUCAGCGGUAAAAUUGAGAGGCUCAACCUCUUCGAGCCGUUGAAACUGGUUUUCUUGAGUGAGCGAGAAGUAUGCGGAAUGCGUGGUGUAGCGGUGAAAUGCAUAGAUAUCACGCAGAACUCCGAUUGCGAAGGCAGCAUACCGGCGCUCAACUGACGCUCAUGCACGAAAGUGUGGGUAUCGAACAGGAUUAGAUACCCUGGUAGUCCACACAGUAAACGAUGAAUACUA
rnacentral:rRNA from 1 species